CACUGAAAUACCGGUUCUCAUACGUUCACUGAAGUUAAGCAAAUUCCUGGUCAGUAUCUAGAUGGGUAACCGCAUGGGAAUACCAGGUGCUGUAAG